rnacentral:lncRNA from 1 species
UUCAGUGGAGCUGAUCGUAGUGUAACAGAGCAAAUGUAUGAAUAUGGAAAGAAUCUUGGCCUAUCAUUCCAAGUUGUUGAUGACAUAUUGGAUUUUACACAAUCAGCAGAGCAGCUGGGAAAACCAGCUGGUAGUGAUCUAGCAAAAGGCAACCUCACAGCACCUGUAAUUUUCGCACUUGAAAAGGAGCCAAAACUUAGAGAGAUCAUUGAAUCUGAGUUCUGUGAGACUGGUUCCCUUGACGAAGCAAUCGAACUAGUAAAGCAAUGCGGGGGAAUCGAAAGGGCACAAGAGUUGGCAAAAGAGAAAGCUGAUAUUGCAAUCAAGAGUCUCCAAUGUCUUCCUCAAAGUGAUUUUCGGUUAGGGCUUGAAGAUAUGGUGAUGUUUAAUCUAGAAAGGAUUGAUUAGUUUAACUAAUCCAAAACAAACAGCAUGAUACAUGACAGAUAAACAUGGCAUGAAGUUGAAGCCUGUACCCAUAUAGAACAGCUUUCUUAGGAUAUUAAUUGGUUCCUUGUCACUGGUUGUAUAUUCAUACAAGGCUUUGAGCUUUGACUUGA